rnacentral:rRNA from 1 species
AUACGAUUGAUGGCUUAGUGAGGCCUCAGGAUCUGCUUAGAGAAGGGGGCAACUCCAUCUCAGAGCGGAGAAUUUGGACAAACUUGGUCAUUUAGAGGAACUAAAAGUCGUAACAAGGUUUCCGUAGGUGAACCUGCGGAAGGAUCAUUAAAGAAAUUUAAUAAUUUUGAAAAUGGAUUUUUUUGUUUUGGCAAGAGCAUGAGAGCUUUUACUGGGCAAGAAGACAAGAGAUGGAGAGUCCAGCCGGGCCUGCGCUUAAGUGCGCGGUCUUGCUAGGCUUGUAAGUUUCUUUCUUGCUAUUCCAAACGGUGAGAGAUUUCUGUGCUUUUGUUAUAGGACAAUUAAAACCGUUUCAAUACAACACACUGUGGAGUUUUCAUAUCUUUGCAACUUUUUCUUUGGGCAUUCGAGCAAUCGGGGCCCAGAGGUAACAAACACAAACAAUUUUAUUUAUUCAUUAAAUUUUUGUCAAAAACAAGAAUUUUCGUAACUGGAAAUUUUAAAAUAUUAAAAACUUUCAACAACGGAUCUCUUGGUUCUCGCAUCGAUGAAGAACGCAGCGAAAUGCGAUACGUAAUGUGAAUUGCAGAAUUCCGUGAAUCAUCGAAUCUUUGAACGCACAUUGCGCCCCUUGGUAUUCCAGGGGGCAUGCCUGUUUGAGCGUCAUUUCCUUCUCAAACAUUCUGUUUGGUAGUGAGUGAUACUCUUUGGAGUUAACUUGAAAUUGCUGGCCUUUUCAUUGGAUGUUUUUUUUCCAAAGAGAGGUUUCUCUGCGUGCUUGAGGUAUAAUGCAAGUACGGUCGUUUUAGGUUUUACCAACUGCGGCUAAUCUUUUUUAUACUGAGCGUAUUGGAACGUUAUCGAUAAGAAGAGAGCGUCUAGGCGAACAAUGUUCUUAAAGUUGACCUCAAAUCAGUAGAGGCCGAACUGCGGCUAAUCUUUUUUAUACUGAGCGUAUUGGAACGUUAUCGAUAAGAAGAGAGCGUCUAGGCGAACAAUGUUCUUAAAGUUUGACCUCAAAUCAGGUAGGAGUACCCGCUGAACUUAAGCAUAUCAAUAAGCGGAGGAAAAGAAACCAACCGGGAUUGCCUUAGUAACGGCGAGUGAAGCGGCAAAAGCUCAAAUUUGAAAUCUGGUACCUUCGGUGCCCGAGUUGUAAUUUGGAGAGGGCAACUUUGGGGCCGUUCCUUGUCUAUGUUCCUUGGAACAGGACGUCAUAGAGGGUGAGAAUCCCGUGUGGCGAGGAGUGCGGUUCUUUGUAAAGUGCCUUCGAAGAGUCGAGUUGUUUGGGAAUGCAGCUCUAAGUGGGUGGUAAAUUCCAUCUAAAGCUAAAUAUUGGCGAGAGACCGAUAGCGAACAAGUACAGUGAUGGAAAGAUGAAAAGAACUUUGAAAAGAGAGUGAAAAAGUACGUGAAAUUGUUGAAAGGGAAGGGCAUUUGAUCAGACAUGGUGUUUUGUGCCCUCUGCUCCUUGUGGGUAGGGGAAUCUCGCAUUUCACUGGGCCAGCAUCAGUUUUGGUGGCAGGAUAAAUCCAUAGGAAUGUAGCUUGCCUCGGUAAGUAUUAUAGCCUGUGGGAAUACUGCCAGCUGGGACUGAGGACUGCGACGUAAGUCAAGGAUGCUGGCAUAAUGGUUAUAUGCCGCCCGUCUUGAAACACGGA